rnacentral:rRNA from 1 species
AGAUUGCCCCAGAUAACGCGCGAGUGAAGCGGCAACAGCUCAGAUUUGAAAUCUGGCCCCCAGGGCCCGAGUUGUAAUCUGUAGAGGAUGUUUCUGGCAAGGCGCCGUCCGAGUUCCCUGGAACGGGACGCCGGAAAGGGUGAGAGCCCCGUACGGGCGGACGCCGAGCCUCUGUGAAGCUCCUUCGACGAGUCGAGUAGUUUGGGAAUGCUGCUCAAAGCGGGAGGUAAAUUUCUUCUAAAGCUAAAUAUAGGCCAGAGACCGAUAGCGCACAAGUAGAGUGAUCGAAAGAUGAAAAGCACUUUGAAAAGAGGGUUAAAAAGCACGUGAAAUUGUUGAAAGGGAAGCGCCUGUGACCAGACUCGCGCCCGGCGGAUCAUCCGGCGUUCUCGCCGGUGCACUCCGCCGGGCUCGGGCCAGCAUCGGUUCUGGCGGGGGGAUAAAGGCGGCGGGGAUGUGGCUCCCCCGGGAGUGUUAUAGCCCGCCGCUCAAUGCCCCCGCGGGGACCGAGGACCGCGCGUUUGCAAGGAUGCUGGCGUAAUGGUCACCAGCGACCCGUCUUGAAACACGGACCAAGGAGUCAAGCAUUAGGGCGAGUGUUUGGGUGUGAAACCCGCACGCGAAAUGAAAGUGAACGCAGGUGGGAGCCUCGGCGCACCAUCGACCGAUCCUGAUGUCCUCGGAUGGAUUUGAGUAAGAGCCUUAACGCUUGGACCCGAAAGAUGGUGAACUAUGCUUGUGUAGGGUGAAGCCAGAGGAAACUCUGGUGGAGGCUCGCAGCGGUUCUGACGUGCAAAUCGAUCGUCAAACAUGAGCAUGGGGGCGAAAGACUAAUCGAACCAUCUAGUAGCUGGUUACCGCCGAAGUUUCCCUCAGGAUAGCAGUGUUGUUUUCAGUUUUAUGAGGUAAAGCGAAUGAUUAGGGACCCGGGGGCGCUAUCUAGCCUUCAUCCAUUCUCAAACUUUAAAUAUGUAAGAAGCCCUUGUUGCUUAGUUGAACGUGGGCAUUCGAAUGUAUCAACACUAGUGGGCCAUUUUUGGUAAGCAGAACUGGCGAUGCGGGAUGAACCGAACGCGGGGUUAAGGUGCCGGAGUGGACGCUCAUCAGACACCACAAAAGGUGUUAGUACAUCUUGACAGCAGGACGGUGGCCAUGGAAGUCGGAAUCCGAUAAGGACUCUACCCCAAGUACCUAACCUAACAAGUCGCCAGCUGACAGUAUUAAGUCCAGCGUCAGCAACAGACCAGCCCCGGGAGCAGGGACCACGCUCGAAGGAGUACGCGAAAACGGGACCGUUGAGGUGGACCGCAGGUGAGCCCGUCAGAUCCCCCCC